GCUAACACCGUUUUUUUCAGUAAAUAUUUUUCAUUUUUUUUAAGGUACAGGGCUGGUGGGUAAAUAGAGCUGACAUAACCCAACCUAACCUGUUGAUUAUUGAUAUGGGAAUCGGUUCAGAGACUCAAAACGGUGAUAAAAAAAUCAAUUUAUAAGCCAUAAUAAUGGUGUAAUGGUGUACUAUUACGUUUGUUUAUUAAAGAACCGUCUGGAUAAAGAAAUGGUCACUACUGAUGCAGAAGGAAACGAGAAAUCACUAUACCAUUCACUUCUUCAGGAUACAACUCUUUUUAAAUCAAGAUUUGAUAAACCGACCUAAAGGUUGUAAACAAAAAAAAAGUGUACCUAUUAUAAUUAUAAUGAAUUAAAAUCAAAGAUUUCCAUAUAACUUGGUAUAAUAUACCAAUUUAUAAUAAAUAUAGUAUACAUAUGUGAUUUCUAUGUAAACAUUUACUUACACUUUUCUAUUUUUAAAGCAGUAAAUUACUGAUUUAUCUAUCUAUACAUUUAUUGAUAAAUACAAUAUUAAUAUAACAAGUAUUUUGAUAGAUGCUUAAAUUAAUCUACUGCUUUACCAAAAAGGUGGCGUAUACAGCCGAAAUAUAUACAUCAUGUAUAUGUCUACUCAGAUAUCACAUAUUAAUACUACGUCUAUUAUAAUUUGGUAUACUAGAUAUCAACUAGAUAUUACAGUGUUUGCUGGCAUGUCCCUACUAAUUUGUUUAGUUAACAAUUAAAUGAAAUUGAUUGAA